rnacentral:misc_RNA from 1 species
GAAUGAACUUGGUGUGGUUGUUGCUGGUCCUUUCGGGGGCAUGUGCACGCCCACCAUCCUCAUCUCUCCACCUGUGCACCUCUUGUAGACUUGGAUUGACUUUCCGAGGCAACUCGGUCGGGAGGAUUGCUGGCAUCAGCUGGCUUUCUUUGCAUUUCCGGGUCUACGUUUUUCAUAUACCCCAUUGUAUGUAACAGAAUGUCAUAUUGGGCCCUUGUGCCUAUAAACCUUAUACAACUUUCAGCAACGGAUCUCUUGGCUCU